AUGUGGGACCCAGCAAUGUAACAUAUAUGUGGAUAUCGUACAUGAACAUAUAUGGUUAAUAUAUUCAAUUCACUUAUUUGCACACAGGCAGUGAUGGGUGGGGUUUACAAAAAACCUUCAACUUCAAAAUACGUCACUACCAACGUACUCUAAGGUCGUUGGAAUAACGGUUAAAAUGUUUGCAGCUUUUUCACUACAUAAGCAUAACUAACAGCUACUACUAGUCCAAAUGUAAAACGUUUGCUCUGGUUAAGUGGAUUGGCGGGAGUAUGAGGGCAAAACCAGUAUUUUGCCGACUGACUGCAUCAGUAGACCUAACGUUAAUGAGAGACUUUUUCAACGGCUCUGGAUGGGACAACAUCUUGCUAGAAACAAACGUUAUGUGGUGGAGGGGAGGAAGGCUCUUGGCCGGUUUUCGAGGCCAUGGUGGUCAAAAUUGCUGGUAAGUAGAUCUUCAUUGUAUGCUGAAUUGCUUUCAUAUAACAUUUGCAGAAGUUAAUGUCCGAAUUAACAAUGGUAUUAUUGGUGGAAGCUAACCUUUGCUACUUUCUGUAACAUUAACGUUAGCAUAAAUUAGCCAGCGCUAGCUUUAUUAUUUUACACCUGAAAGGGGAUUGAAAAAUAAAUUCACUGAGAAACGUUUGGACAAUUAAUGAAAACGACUUGUAAUGACAGUGAAAUACCAAUUUAACCUGUCUCCCGGCCAUAUUUGGUAGUAUAUUUGCCUCUGGCAUGUAGAUUGAUAGCUAGGCAUAAAUAGAAGCUAACUUAUGAUUUGUCAUGCAAGACAGAAAAUGUAACGGUUAACAUUACUAGCCUAAGGUGUAGACAUUCUAUGCACUGUGGUUUAGCUAGCUAGCUGCUAUUGUUGCAUCAUGGACAACACUUAGAACUAACAUUAGCUUUUAAAAAUAUCUUUUUUAGAUAGGAUGUAAUGUGGUAUGUGCUGGAGAGUAUUAGAGAGGACGUGUAGAAAUUGAAGACACAAGUACUGUGCUUAAUUUCAUGGAAAUGUCAUUGGAAGUAAUGUGUUUUGUUUUUGUGCACUAUCAAACUACUUUGUCAUGCUUUGUGCACUGACAUUCUUGCAAAACCAUUCAUACCCAUGCUAAAUUAUGGAAAUGUAAAAGUUGAAUUGUAUUGAAAAGGACCAUGUAUGGUCAUGUAGUAUAUUUGAGCACUGAAACCCCUUUUUUUACAUUUUAGAGAGGGAGGCAACACUCGAAAGCUACAUCAAGGACACCGGAGGAAGGACCAUAAGACCUGAGACCAAGACGACCCAAGCCCAACCCGUAGUAUGCUUCACUGACAAAUGUUGAUGUUGAUGCUUCAUCAUCACAUAGACCAAAGGUUUCAGAGAAGGCUGGUAGAGCUCUCUAUGAGUGUGAGCUGUGGGAGAUAACCCAGAACUGACAACCACCUAAAGAAGAGGUGGCGAUAAUGGCUCUCCAAGAGGAGGUUGUGAGUCUGAAGGCUUUUAUUCAACAAGGAGGCACUUAGAGGGAAUGCCUGGACCCUGAGAGGACUAAGACGAUAAUUGGGG